UUUUGGGCUUGGUAAUUGGAAUGAGGGAGAGUUAAACGGACCAUAGAGUAUCCAUUGGAGGGCAAGUCUGGUGCCAGCAGCUGCGGUAAUACCAGCUCCAAUAGCGUAUAUUAAAGUUGUUGCAGUUAAAAAGCUCGUAGUUGGACUUGUGUGCGCUGUCCGCGGGUGGCCUGCGCCCAAAAGGGCGUUUCGGUUCGGCCCCGGUGGCGCCUUGAAAUCUGCAGCUGGGGGGACGUUGGCCUUAACUGGUCGGCGACCGCACGCCGGCUGCUCGGUUACUGUGAGAAAAUUAGAGUGUUCAAGGCAGGCAUUGGGUGCAAUUGAAUACAUUAGCAUGGAAUAAUAAAAUAUGGCUCCUGCCGUAUUUUGUUGGUUUUGACUGGUGGGAGUAAUGAUUGAUAGGGACGGUUGGGGGUGCUAGUAUUGAGCGGCCAGAGGUGAAAUUCAUGGAUUCGCUCAAGACUAACUUAUGCGAAAGCAUUCACCAAGGACGUCCUCUUUAAUCAAGAACGAAAGUUGGGGGAUCGAAGACGAUCAGAUACCGUCGUAGUCUCAACCAUAAACUAUGUCGACUUGGGAUCGGCGGUAGUUUUUUCAUUAAGACACUGUCGGGACCACGGGAGAAAUCAAAGUGUCUGGACUCUGGGGGAAGUAUGGUCGCAAGGCUGAAACUUGAAGGAAUUGACGGAAGGGCACCACCAGGAGUGGAGCCUGCGGCUUAAUUUGACCCAACACGGGGAAACUUACCAGGUCCAGAGAUGUAGAGGAUUGACAGAUUGAAGCUCUUUCUUGAUCACUUCGGUGGUGGUGCAUGGCCGUUCUUAGUUGGUGGAGUGAUUUGUCUGGUUAAUUCCGUUAACGAACGAGACCUCAGCCUGCUAGUGUAGUCGGCUGGAUUGCCUUUGGCGAUCCGUGAUUUCGACUUCUUAGAGGGACAAUCGACGCGCAGUCGAUGGAAGUUUGAGGCAAUAACAGGUCUGUGAUGCCCUUAGAUGUUCUGGGCCGCACGCGCGCUACACUGCUGGGCCCAGCGAGUUUUACUUGGCCGAGAGGCCCGGUUAAUCUUGUGAAAUCCCAGCGUGCUUGGGCUCGCCUCCUGCAACUGGAGGCGCCAACGAGGAAUUCCUAGUAGACGCAGGUCAUCAACCUGCAUCGAUUACGUCCCUGCCCUUUGUACACACCGCCCGUCGUUCCAUAAGAGUGAGGCAUCCGGUGAAUUCUCGGGAGAGCCUGGGCGUGGCCAGCAAUGGUCUGCUCGGGUUUGAACUUGCAUAAACUUGGUGCCUAUGAUUAGGG
rnacentral:rRNA from 1 species